AACUGCUAAGGAAACCUCUUCUUCUUGCUUCCUUCCCUUCCUCUCAUUCUCCUAACUUUUUCACUUCUAACCUUUGCCCCAUUCCUUUGUGUCCUGUUUCCCCUUUCCUUUGCCCUAAGUUCCCCAUGCCAUCCUUAUCCUCACAGACUAAGGGGACAGGGCAUGGGGGGGUCAUCGAGGUUUUCCAUACACCCAAGUGCUUUGGAGUUGGUCUUCUGUAUGGCUCUCCUGACUCCCUCUCUUCUCUGUGCCUGGCAUAACAGAAGCUCUGAGAGUCAACGUGGUUGCAACAUGACAUAAGUGUGAGUCAAAAAUGUUCAUUUUCCACCUUUGUAUUUUGCCUCUGCAAAAUGUAAACCUUUCCUCGUUCACCUCACCACCACCCCCUAAAAAUCUGCAUCAAGCUCACGUGCAUCUUCAACUCUCUCCUCUUUAACUGCCCCAAAUGGAACUUUCCACAGUGUUUUGGCUUCCCUGAAGGUCUGAGGAUCUAGUGCAUGGCUUUAGUUUUAUAAUAAAAGGGUGAUAAAAUGUCUUUUUUUUUUUUUUUCACCUUCUCCGCCAGCUUGUUCAGAUUUGGCUCUCUUAUCUUCCCUUGUAUCUUAGUAAGAUUUCCCUCCAGACAUUUCUUUAAAUGACUUGACAAUAACCCUGCUAUCUUCUAAGAACCUAACAUCACUUUGGCUGCUUUAGAAAAAAUGUGUCUGUUUUUCCAUCUCAUUAAGAAGCAUCUUGCAAUCUCUCUGAAAACACAAGAAAGGGAUACACAGAGGGCCUCCCAGAAUAUGAAAGUCCCAUUGAAAUUAAAUACAGCCCAUUAGUGUUUUUUAAUGACAUCAAAGUGUUAUCCAUGCAUUUAAAAUAUGUUCCAUUUUGUUUGGGAUAUGGGUAGGGUAUGAUGUAAAAGCAAACAUAUUUGCUUCUUGGUUUAUCAUAGGAAUCAGAAAAGAAGAGGAGAAAAGGGAAGAAAGGAUGGCUCUGAUUCUUUUAAUCUCAGGUUAUGAAAACAAUGAUGACAUUUUGGAAGGAUGUAGCAAAAGAAAAGUUCUAACAAAAGUCCUUGAAAUAGCCAAGCAUAGUAUUUAUGUGCAAACCAAAUGGAGCAAAAACAAGAAACUCUGCAGCAUGGUCUCUGACUGAAGAAUGGAUGACAAAUUAUCAACUUGUGGUGAGUUAAAUAACGCCCUCCCCCAAAGAUAUCUACAUCCUAAAACCUGGAAUCUGUGAAUGUUAUUGUUUUGGCAAAAAAUAAAAAUAAAAAAAGACUUUCA
rnacentral:lncRNA from 1 species